rnacentral:rRNA from 1 species
GGGGCGGCUUACACAUGCAAGUCGAGCGGUAACAGGAGAAGCUUGCUUCUCGCUGACGAGCGGCGGACGGGUGAGUAAUACUUAGGAAUCUACCUAGUAGUGGGGGAUAGCUCGGGGAAACUCGAAUUAAUACCGCAUACGACCUACGGGAGAAAGGGGGCAACUUGUUGCUCUCGCUAUUAGAUGAGCCUAAGUCGGAUUAGCUAGAUGGUGGGGUAAAGGCCUACCAUGGCGACGAUCUGUAGCUGGUCUGAGAGGAUGAUCAGCCACACCGGGACUGAGACACGGCCCGGACUCCUACGGGAGGCAGCAGUGGGGAAUAUUGGACAAUGGGGGCAACCCUGAUCCAGCCAUGCCGCGUGUGUGAAGAAGGCCUUUUGGUUGUAAAGCACUUUAAGCAGUGAAGAAGACUCUAUGGUUAAUACCCAUAGACGAUGACAUUAGCUGCAGAAUAAGCACCGGCUAACUCUGUGCCAGCAGCCGCGGUAAUACAGAGGGUGCAAGCGUUAAUCGGAAUUACUGGGCGUAAAGCGAGCGUAGGUGGCUUGAUAAGUCAGAUGUGAAAGCCCCGGGCUUAACCUGGGAACGGCAUCUGAUACUGUUAGGCUAGAGUAGGUGAGAGGAAGGUAGAAUUCCAGGUGUAGCGGUGAAAUGCGUAGAGAUCUGGAGGAAUACCGAUGGCGAAGGCAGCCUUCUGGCAUCAUACUGACACUGAGGUUCGAAAGCGUGGGUAGCAAACAGGAUUAGAUACCCUGGUAGUCCACGCCGUAGACGAUGUCUACUAGUCGUUGGGUCCCUUGAGGACUUAGUGACGCACCUAACGCAUUAAGUAGACCGCCUGGGGAGUACGGCCGCAAGGUUAAAACUCAAAUGAAUUGACGGGGGCCCGCACAAGCGGUGGAGCAUGUGGUUUAAUUCGAUGCAACGCGAAAAAACCUUACCUGGUCUUGACUAUCUUGAAUCCUGCAAAGAUCCGGGAGUGCCUUCGGAAUUAAAUACAGGUGCUGCAUGGCUGUCGUCACCUCCUGUCCUGGAAUUUGGGUUAAUCCCGAACGAGA